AACGAACGCUGGCGGCAGGCCUAACACAUGCAAGUCGAACGCCGUAGCAAUACGGAGUGGCAGACGGGUGAGUAACACGUGGGAACAUACCCUUCGGUUCGGAAUAACUCAGGGAAACUUGAGCUAAUACCGGAUACGUCCGCGAGGAGAAAGAUUCAUCGCCGGAGGAUUGGCCCGCGUCUGAUUAGCUUGUUGGUGAGGUAACGGCUCACCAAGGCGACGAUCAGUAGCUGGUCUGAGAGGAUGAUCAGCCACAUUGGGACUGAGACACGGCCCAAACUCCUACGGGAGGCAGCAGUGGGGAAUAUUGGACAAUGGGCGCAAGCCUGAUCCAGCCAUGCCGCGUGAGUGAUGAAGGCCCUAGGGUUGUAAAGCUCUUUUUACCCGGGGAAGAUAAUGACUGUACCGGGAGAAUAAGCCCCGGCUAACUUCGUGCCAGCCGCCGCCGUAAC
rnacentral:rRNA from 1 species